GAAACAGGCAGAGGACCUGCAUUAUCAAACAGCUCAAGCAGAGGACCUGCAUUAUCAAACAGCUCAAGCAGAGGACCUGCAUUAUCAAACAGCUCAAGCAGAGGACCUGCAUUAUCAAACAGCUCCAGCAGAGGACCUGCAUUAUCGAACAGCUCAAGCAGAGGACAUGUAUUAUCCAACAGCUCAAGCAGGCCAAGCCGAGGACAUGCAUUAUCAAACAGUUCAAGUGGAGGACCUGCAUUAUCAAACAGCAGGUAGAGGACCUGCAUUAUCAAACAGCUCAAGCAGAGGACCUGCAUUAUCAAACAGCUCAAGCAGAGGACCUGCAUUAUCAAACAGCUCAAGCAGAGGACAUGCAUUAUCAAACAGCUCAAGCAGAGGACCUGCAUUAUCAAACAGCUAAAACAGCAGGCCAGGCAGAGGACCUGCAUUAUCAAACAGCUAAAGCAGGCCAAGCAGAGGACAUGCAUUAUCAAACAGCUCAAGUGGAGGAUCUGCAUUAUCAAACAGCAGGUAGAUGACCUGCAUUAUCAAACAGCUCAAGCAGAGGACCUGCAUUAUCAAACAGCUCAAGCAGGCCAAGCAGAGGACUUGCAUUAUCAAACAGCUUAAGCAGAGGACUUGCACUAUCAAACAGCUCAAGCAGGCCAAGUAGAGGACUUGCAUUAUCAAACAGCUCAAGUAGGCCAAGCAGAGGACCUGCAUUAUCAAACAGCUCAAGCAGGCCAAGCAGAGGACUUACAUUAUCAAACAGCUCAAGCAGAGGACCUGCAUUAUCAAACAGCUCAAGCAGGCCAAGCAGAGGACUUACAUUAUCAAACAGCUCAAGCAGGCCAAGAAGAGGACUUGCAUUAGCAAACAGCUCAAGCAGAGGACGUGCAUUAUCAAACAGAUCAAGCAGAGGACCUGCAUUAUCAAACAGAUCAAGCAGAGGACCUGCAUUAUCAAACAGAUCAAGCAGAGGACCUGCAUUAUCAAACAGAUCAAGCAGAGGACCUGCAUUAUCAAACAGAUCAAGCAGAGGACCUGCAUUAUCAAACAGAUCAAGCAGAGGACCUGCAUUAUCAAACAGAUCAAGCAGAGGACCUGCAUGAUGAAAUACUGCAUUAUUGCUCUCUCUCACAUGCUGAGAAUGUGUUUCGUUUGAAAUGGAUUAAUAUGGGAAAAUCUACCAAUUAAAGCUUAACUACUCUUUCUUUUAUUGGUUUGGUUUCAUUGGUUUCAUUUUGGUGAUAAAAUUGGUGAUUUAUUGGCGAUAUUCUAUUUAU
rnacentral:lncRNA from 1 species